rnacentral:rRNA from 1 species
CCUACGGGAGGCAGCAGUAGGGAAUCUUUCACAAUGGGCGAAAGCCUGAUGGAGCAACGCCGCGUGCAGGAUGAAGGCCUUCGGGUUGUAAACUGCUUUUAUAAGCGAGAAAUAUGAUGGUAACUUAUGAAUAAGGAUCGGCUAACUACGUGCCAGCAGCCGCGGUCAUACGUAGGAUCCGAGCAUUAUCCGGGGUGACUGGGUGUAAAGAGUUGCGUAGGUGGUAUAAUUAGUAGCUAGUGAAAUCUGUUGGCUCAACCAUUCAGACUAUUAGCUAAACUGUUAAGCUCGAGACCGUUAGGGGUAACUGGAAUUUCUAGUGUAGGAGUGAAAUCCGUAGAUAUUAGAAGGAACACCAGUGGCGUAGGCAAGUUACUGGGACGGUUCUGACACUGAGGCACGAAAGCGUAGGGAGCAAACGGGAUUAGAUACCCUUGUAGUC